rnacentral:rRNA from 1 species
AUUGAACGCUGGCGGCAGGCUUAACACAUGCAAGUCCGAACGGUAACAUGAAGAAGCUUGCUUCUUUGAUGACGAGUGGCGGACGGGUGAGUAAUGCUUGGGAAUCUAGCUUAUGGAGGGGGAUAACUACGGGAAACUGUAGCUAAUACCCGCGUAGAAUCGAGAGAUGAAAGUGUGGGACCUUCGGGCCACAUGCCAUAGGAUGAGCCCAAGUGGGAUUAGGUAGUUGGUGAGGUAAAGGCUCACCAAGCCGACGAUCUCUAGCUGGUCUGAGAGGAUGACCAGCCACACUGGGACUGAGACACGGCCCAGACUCCUACGGGAGGCAGCAGUGGGGAAUAUUGCGCAAUGGGGGCAACCCUGACGCAGCCAUCCGCGUGAAUGAAGAAGGCCUUCGGGUUGUAAAGUUCUUUCGGUAGCGAGGAAGGCAUUUAGUUUAAUAGACUAAG